AUCUCUCACUGCCUCCAUUUCUUCCCCUUCUAUUUGCCAGGAGGUGAUGGGGAAGAAAUGGAGGCAGUGAGAGAU